rnacentral:rRNA from 1 species
UACGGAGGGAGCUAGCGUUGUUCGGAAUUACUGGGCGUAAGCGCACGUAGGCGGCUUUUUAAGUCAGGGGUGAAAUCCCGGGGCUCAACCCCGGAACUGCCCUUGAAACUGGAAAGCUAGAAUCUUGGAGAGGCGAGUGGAAUUCCGAGUGUAGAGGUGAAAUUCGUAGAUAUUCGGAAAGAACACCAGUGGCGAAGGCGACUCGCUGGACAAGUAUUGACGCUGAGGUGCGAAAGCGUGGGGAGCAAACAGG